ACAAAGGCUCUUUUCAGAGCCCCUUACAAAGUCAUAAAGAAGAGA
rfam:Dipodomys ordii contig_61513, whole genome shotgun sequence.